UUGCACGCUGGCGGCCGGCCUAACACAUGCAAGUCGAACGGUAACAGGAAGCAGCUUGCUGCUUUGCUGACGCGUGGCGGACGGGUGAGUAAUGUCUGGGAAACUGCCUGAUGGAGGGGGAUAACUACUGGAAACGGAAGCUAAUACCGCAUAACGUCGCAAGACCAAAGAGGGGGACCUUAGGGCCUCUUGCCAUCGGAUGUGCCCAGAUGGGAUUAGCUAGUAGGUGGGGUAACGGCUCACCUAGGCGACGAUCCCUAGCUGGUCUGAGAGGAUGACCAGCCACACUGGAACUGAGACACGGUCCAGACUCCUACGGGAGGCAGCAGUGGGGAAUAUUGCACAAUGGGCGCAAGCCUGAUGCAGCCAUGCCGCGUGUAUGAAGAAGGCCUUCGGGUUGUAAAGUACUUUCAGCGGGGAGGAAGGGAGUAAAGUUAAUACCUUUGCUCAUUGACGUUACCCGCAGAAGAAGCACCGGCUAACUCCGUG
rnacentral:rRNA from 1 species